AUUGAACGCUGGCGGCAUGCCUUACACAUGCAAGUCGAACGGUAACGGGCCUUCGGGUGCCGACGAGUGGCGAACGGGUGAGUAAUACAUCGGAACGUGCCCGAUCGUGGGGGAUAACGAGGCGAAAGCUUUGCUAAUACCGCAUACGAUCUACGGAUGAAAGCAGGGGACCGCAAGGCCUUGCGCGGACGGAGCGGCCGAUGGCAGAGUAGGUAGUUGGUGGGAUAAAAGCUUACCAAGCCGACGAUCUGUAGCUGGUCUGAGAGGAUGGUCAGCCACACUGGGACUGAGACACGGCCCAGACUCCUACGGGAGGCAGCAGUGGGGAAUUUUGGACAAUGGGCGCAAGCCUGAUCCAGCCAUGCCGCGUGCAGGAUGAAGGCCUUCGGGUUGUAAACUGCUUUUGUACGGAACGAAAAGCCUUCUUUUAAUACAGGAGGGUCAUGACGGUACCGUAAGAAUAAGCACCGGCUAACUACGUG
rnacentral:rRNA from 1 species